AUGCCAGAGGCAAAGGUGGCCGAAGUGUGGCUACAGGGGAGGUGGGAACCACGGUUUCGUCGAGCUCUGGGGCCUCUUGAGGUGGUGGAAUGGGAACGGCUAUGCAAUACCCUACAUGAGGUGCAGAUCUCACCUGGCCAAGACAUGGUGACUUGGCGUUUAGAGCCUUCAGGGAGCUUCUCUACAGGAUCCUUAUAUAAGGAAAUUUUCAAGAGCACGACACCAUGUAACUUAUCCGGGAUAUGGAAAGCAAGGCCCCCAACAAAGAUAAUUUUUUUUCCUAUGGCAAGCAGCGCAUAA
rnacentral:rRNA from 1 species